GUAACGGCCCACCAAGGCGACGAUCAGUAGCCGGCCUGAGAGGGUGAACGGCCACAUUGGGACUGAGACACGGCCCAAACUCCUACGGGAGGCAGCAUG
rnacentral:rRNA from 1 species